rnacentral:lncRNA from 1 species
UUCCCUCCAUCACAGAUAUGGGACUUAGGUUGGGGAGUUUGGAGAAGAAAGAAAAGGAAGUUGAUCGAUUUUAACUCUCAACAUGAAAUCGUCUCAAUCCCCGCCGAAUCACCACAGGCGACGAGGUUGACUCCGACGAGCGGAUGAACAAGGCAGAUUUGUAGCAGUGUCAACAAGAGAAGGUCGGUGCUUUCCGUUGAUCUGCGAAAGGUAAUAUUUGAUCCAUACUUUGCCCUGUACAAGAGAGUUUCUUAGUUUGUGAAUAUAAGACAAUAAUUUCCUCUCUCAAGCAUUGAUUUAUAUCUGCAUAAUUCUUCUGUUCUAUUAUAGAGAUACCAUGUGUAGUUAUUAUUUUUGAUUGGAUAUUUGUUUUUUUGUAUUAACUUAAUUUUUUUGUUCCUCCCUGAAAUUAACCAUUUUCCCCCUGCUGAUGCAGUUGUUAAACUAAUUGUUUACACUGUUAAUUUUAUCCCAAAAUACGAGCUUACAUUGUUGAAAAUGUUCUAAAAGGCGCUAGGCGGGAGGCGGGAGGCGGGCGGCCGAGGGGGGUCUAGCGCCUAGGGGGCCUAGGCGGGGCCUGGGCGGGGCCUAGGUGGGAUUUUUUAUUUUAAGCUAAUUUUAAUAUUUUAUCUUACAUUUAUCCAAACAAAACAAUAAUAUAAAACAAAAUAAUCUAUAAUAAAGAUAAUAAAGGCAUUUGCUUAAAGUUCAAACACAUAUCCAUAUUGCUAAUGUCAAAGUUCAAACACAAACAUGCAAUUGUUCAAAGUUCAAACAUAAUUUUAACGUAUUAGUUUUAUUCAUAAACAAGAUUGCUAUUAAAUAAUAAAAUUUAAAAUUUCAAGAAUUUAAUUCAAUAUUAAAACUUAAGAAACUAAACAUAAAUUUAAGAAUUAUAUUGAAUUAAACUAAAUAUUACAAAUGUGUCAUCAUUUAUAUAAUUUGAAGUUGUUACAAGUUCAAAAAAUUACAACUAUAAUAAAAGUAUCCAUUUUGACUUGAUAUUGUUCACUUUUUGUUGUGAUUUGAUAUGCUAUAACAUGUAUUAUGAAUAUGGUAAAUCAUUAUAAAAAUAAAUAUAUUAAGAUCUGGUUUGGGUAGUUAUUAAAAUAAAAAAAACCUCUCCGCUUAGACCCCACCUAGGUCCCGUCUAAUUUCCUAGAGGAAUUUUUUUACCGCCUUGGGCCUAGGUGAGGCGUCAGGGGGCCUAGUGCUAUGGCGAGGCGUUAAGGGGGGGCCUAGAGCCUAGGCGGGGCGCCAAGGGGGGGCCUAGCGCCUAGGCGGGGAUUUUUAGAACACUCACUUGAAAUUUCUCACUAAAGAAUUUGGAAGUGUUUAAUCUUCAAUGUGGUCCUCCCAACCUUUUUUAAAUUAUUUAAAAACUAUAAUUAUUAUCCGAACAUAGCUUUUAUUUGUGGUAUCUUGCUUUCAAUAACAGCACUUGAUACACCAUAUUCAACCUCUUACCCAUAACCUGUCAGCUUACAAGCCAACAAGCUUCUUGGCGGCCAGUUCCAUCUUAGGUUUUAAACAAUUCUACAAUACUAUUGAUUUGUUUCAAUUGCCAAUUUUAGACUUUCAGUUUAUUAAGAGAAUUGCUUGCUUUUGUGCAGACCUCUUGACCAAAGAUUACAACUAUGAUCACAGGUUUUUACUCUUUACUCCAAGAUCUACU